AUCGCUUCUCGGCCUUUUGGCUAAGAUCAAGUGUUGUGCCUGUUCUUACCAGUUUAAUGUCUGAUACCUCCUCUUUCUAAGGACAAUAUAUUAAAUGGAUUUUCGGAGCAGGAAGAUGGAAUAGGAGCUUGCUCCGUCCACUCUGCGCAUCGACACGCUAUCGCAGUACCUCCGGGAAUGGUACACACAAA